rnacentral:lncRNA from 1 species
CCGUCCGCAAUGUGAUGGGUUUGUUUGCCAGUUGCCGCUUAUGCAGAAGUAUGGCAAUUUGGUUUGUGAAAUUAUUCGGUGUUGUUAAUGUUAGUGCAAACCCGGUGAUAAGAAUAAUUCGGUCGGUCAUUUUCGUGGAAAGAAGACGGGAUUGUAGUGAUGACAAUAAGAACAUAUCCGAAGUCAUCUCGUGGACAGAUAUUCCAUAACUGUAACAACUCGUGAUGGCAACCGUAAAACUAUCGACGUAAUGAUUUCCACUUCACCAUUUUAACUUUUUCUUCAAUAGAUUCCUUGUAAGCAGCAAUUCUCCAUCAAGGAAACAUACUAGUAAUAUGAAAU